rnacentral:rRNA from 1 species
UACGUAGGGUGCGAGCGUUAAUCGGAAUUACUGGGCGUAAAGCGUGCGCAGGCGGUUCGUUGUGUCGGCGGUGAAAGCCCCGGGCUCAACCUGGGAAUGGCCGUUGAAACUGGCGAACUGGAGUGUGGCAGAGGGGGGUGGAAUUCCGCGUGUAGCAGUGAAAUGCGUAGAUAUGCGGAGGAACACCGAUGGCGAAGGCAAUCCCCUGGGCCUGCACUGACGCUCAUGCGCGAAAGCGUGGGGAGCAAACAGG